CCCAGGUCUGAGUGACUUUGAGAGUGGCUCACUCUCCAGGCACCCUCCCUGGACAGGGGACCAUAGGCUCAAGAUGGCCUGGUGGAUGCCGCCGGCACGCGCCUCUCCUCUGGCGGGAACCGAAGGCGCCGGUAGGUUUUCACACUUGCAGCCGAUCGGCUAAGAGAACGCGGGAUUCAGCCGAGAAGCCACUGGGAGCCCGAGGAGCGGAGCAGAGGCACCCAGGCAGCCUGCGCGGAGAAAUCGGAUCGGCUAGGACGGCCUGCAGCCCCUGCGCGCGGGGAAAGGGAAGAAGUCCUCCCCUACAAAGCGAGUUCACAAACUUGGAAGAAGCCACUUUCACAGGAUGCACAGAUCUCAACGGAAGGACACAGAAAACAUGAAAAAGCAAGGAAAUGGGGCGCCUCCAACGGAACCCAGUAAUUCUCCAGCAGCAGAUCCCCAUCCAAAAGAAACAGAAGACAUUUUGGAGAGAGAAUUGAAUAUACAUAUUAUACAGUUGUGGGCAUAAUACAAGCAUCAUUUGGAAAAGAACAGAGAAAAAAGAUGGAAGGAGUUACCGUACUGCAGGAAAAAAUUAUCAACUCCAGUGAUAUUAUUAAAUACAACCUAACGACACUUCUGAAGCUGAAGAAAUCACUGGAUGAAAUACAAAGUAAACUCAAAAGCUUCAGUGAUAGACUAGAACAAGAAGAAGAAAGACUCUCAAAACUUGAAAUCUGAAGCAUGUUUCUUAAAGAUUUAAAGGGUUAUUAUACUCUGGCCAUUAAUGUGAACGAAAUCUGCUGGGUUAAUUCUUAUACUGGGGUCUUGGAUAAUCAUUAAAGUGAAAUGAGAAUAAUUUCUUUUUGAGAUGAUCAAUUUUAUGAGGUCGAUUUUUUUUUUUUUUUUUUAAUGAGACUGAGUCUUGCUCUGUCGCCCAGGCUGGAGUGCAGUGGCAUGAUUUCGGUUCACUGCAACCUCCGUCUCCCAGGUUCAAGAGAUUCUCCUGCCUUAGCCUCCAGAGUAGCUGGGACUACAGGCGUGUACCACCA
rnacentral:lncRNA from 1 species